CGCACAUUGCGCCCUUCGGUAUUCCGUUGGGCAUGCCUGUUCGAGCGUCAUUUAAACCUUCAAGCUCAGCUUGGUGUUGGGUGCUUGUCCUCCCCCGUGGUGGACUCACCUCAAAUGCAUUGGCGGCCUGUAUGUUGGCUUCGAGCGCAGUAGAAACGCGCCUGGCGUCUUGACAUACGGGUCCUCCACGAGAACCUUCUUAAGCUUGACCUCGGAUCAGGUAGGGAUACCCGCUGAACUUAA
rnacentral:misc_RNA from 1 species